rnacentral:rRNA from 1 species
CAGCCGCCGCGGUAAUACCGGCGGCCCGAGUGGCGGCCACUAUUAUUGGGCUUAAAGCGUCCGUAGCCGGGUUGGUUAGUCUCCCGGGAAAUCUGGCCGCUUAACGGUCAGAAUUCCGGGAGAUACUGCCAGCCUAGGGACCGGGAGAGGCCGAGGGUAUUCCCGGAGUAGGGGUGAAAUCCUAUAAUCCCGGGAGGACCACCUGUGGCGAAGGCGCCCCGCUGGAACGGGUCCGACGGUGAGGGACGAAGGCCAGGGGAGCAAACCGGAUUAGAUGCCCGGGUAGUCCUGGCGGUAAAGGAUGCGGGCUAGGUGUCGGGUGAGCUGCGGGCUCGCCCGGUGCCGUAGGGAAGCCGUUAAGCCCGCCGCCUGGGGAGUACGGCCGCAAGGCUGAAACUUAAAGGAAUUGGCGGG